UUGGCGAAGCUGCGGGGAGCGCUGGAGCUCGGCCCGGGCCGCGGGGUCCCGCCGUGGCGCGCGGGGUCUGUUCUCGAGAUCACCGCCACUCGGCGUCCGGAUUUGGGCGGCGCGCGGGACAUGAACCCGGACCUGAUGGAAGCCCUAGCGGAGGGAGCGCGCAGCAGCCUCGCCGGCCCAGCUGGCUGCAGGGUGGGCGCGCUGAUUUAUUGAGCAGGAGCAGGGGCAGGGCAAGACUUAAAGGGGUGUGAUUCAGAAUGCUUGACAGGCAGGAAGCCCAGGUUUACGUCCCCACUACCAGGAGGUGACAGACACGGGGACAAGGGACCCUCACUGUUACCAGGACCUAAAACAAGCUUUUCCCCUGGCCUUGGGCAGUUUGGCCUGCUGGUUGCAGAACUCUCAGAUGGCAGUUUCCCUGCCCGACCACAAGGCAAGGGACAAAUGACCAGAGACUGUGUUCCGGGCCUGAGCUGCCCACACAAUCCAAGCGAGCCAACGCUAGCGCCUGAGGAUAGAACAUCCUGGUUGUCCCUGGCCAGGGCUCCACUGGGAGCUGACCACACCCCCAGGGAGAGACCAUGGAUUUCCGUGGCCCUUCCCACCAUGUGAAUCCACAGCGGCCCCAAGCUACCCCCCAGGCGUGGGCCCAGCAGCCGGCUCUCUUCCCAGCUGGGGACCCUGGUCACUUCUGGUGACCUCGGAUCUUAACCUCCUUACUGAUGAGCCGGAGUCGGCGACCCCGCCCCCACCCCG